AACGAACGCUGGCGGCAUGCCUAACACAUGCAAGUCGAACGAGACCUUCGGGUCUAGUGGCGCACGGGUGCGUAACGCGUGGGAACCUGCCCUUAGGUUCGGAAUAACUCCCCGAAAGGGGUGCUAAUACCGGAUAAUGUCUUCGGACCAAAGAUUUAUCGCCUUUGGAUGGGCCCGCGUUGGAUUAGCUAGUUGGUAGGGUAAAAGCCUACCAAGGCGACGAUCCAUAGCUGGUCUGAGAGGAUGAUCAGCCACACUGGGACUGAGACACGGCCCAGACUCCUACGGGGGGCAGCAGUGGGGAAUAUUGGACAAUGGGCGAAAGCCUGAUCCAGCAAUGCCGCGUGAGUGAUGAAGGCCUUAGGGUUGUAAAGCUCUUUUACCCGGGAUGAUAAUGACAGUACCGGGAGAAUAAGCACCGGCUAACUCCGUG
rnacentral:rRNA from 1 species